UGCAGGCUACAUACAGUCUUUGUCACAUAUUCUUCUUUUUUUAAAACAAUGCUUUAAAAAUGUAAAAAUCACUCACUGGGAGCUAAGGAGGAGGUGGUGGGAGAGAAGCAGUGUAUAAAACUGAGGCCAGAGGCCCUCAGGUUAUAAUUUGCCUACGCCUGUAUGACAUCACAGUGGGACAGACUGACGAAACAUGAUUUUGCUAUGCAAGCUUUGGGAAAUCAUUACGGGCUGGUUGAUUGAUUUCCCAUUCCUGAGUCAUUCUUUUGGUGAUGGGGAGAUGAAUGGCUCAAGUCACCACCAACCCUCCUUUGUAGCCAUAUCGUUAUGGAGUAAACUUGAGUUACUCCAAAACAGAAAAAACAAACAAGAGGAUCAAAGUGUACGUCUCUGCUGGAACAAACAGAAGCGGAGAGGCAGGGAGAAGACUGAGCUCUCGGCGGAUUUUGCUGAAAUGUUCUAUUUGUGUAGCAGUGAUUUGUACCGGACUGCUGACUGUCAACUCAGAAGACAGGAUGGAGGAACUUGCCUGUUAGGGCCUGAUUUCCUCCACAUACCGGAGACCGGAAUGAAAUUGUCCCUCCUUUGUCUUAAGGAAAAAUCGUGGGAAUGUUCAGAAGACCCACGUGGUUGGCGUGCACACUUGUGCCUGGGCGGGGCUCCCGUGAAGAUCACCAUACCUGGAAUUGUGUAUAGUGCACCAGUUUGUUCUGACACAGCGGAAGCCCUUCAUCCUUUUGCUCACCCGAUGGUUCUAUAAAAGCGAUUUCUCACUCUCGGGCUUUGCAGGAGCCAGGUGUGCAUUCCAUAAUGCGCCUAUUAUGCAGCCAUUCUCAGUAGCCAUUGCUCAUACAAUGACCCUUCUGAUUUGCCCCUUUACAGCGUGGUUGCCAACGACUUCGGUCCCCACCCAGUACAACUUCAGGUAUGCAUUUCACAUAUAUUUCCAGGCAGAAAAAAGAAAACCCUUUCUCCCUUUGUCUCAAGACAAACAAAAGUAACUGGCAUUUUUCUUCUCCCAACCACAUGUGCCUGCAGCACGGGUGCCCUAAAAAAGGAAACCUGUUUCCCUCCUCCCAAGUUUCUGGUUUCUCCACCCAGUCUCCCCACAGCCCUCUGCUCCCGCACCCAGGCCUUCCGGCCUCCGCCCAGCCUCGGAGCGGCGCCCGACAUUCCAGGUAACCCGACUCCCCAGACGGAGGGGCGGGGGCCGGCUGGGUUGCCGAGGGCGCCACGUGACCUUCCCGGCCCGCCACCGGCCAGGCCUACCUGAUUCAGAAACUAGGGGACAGGUGAGCCCAGAGGACUGUUUGGAGUUUGAAUUUAAAAACAUAUAGUUGCUAAAAGCGCGCUUGCUUCUGCAUCCCACAGCUUCCACUUUGAUCCUUACAAAUGAAAAGGCACGGCUGGCCGUGGAGUGUUCGGCCGUGAACGAAGCUGCGGGACAGAGGCAGCGCCAUCUCAGUCCGUCUGUCCGUCAGUCCAGGAGGAGCAGGCCGCGCGGGUGCUCCGGGAGCUGCGGCGCCACGCUGCCCGCAGGCUGCACGGGGAGCCCACUGGCAGGCCUGGGCUGUCACUUCCCGCCUCUGCCCUCCCCAGCUUGCCCUUGACAGCUCUCUUCUUUGAUCUGUAAAAUGGGAGACAAUAGGAGACACUUUGAUAUUCUUCAAAAGCUGCGGGGAUUUGCUGUUUUCUCCCGAAAUAAAGGGCUUGUAGAGAGUUUCUUUGAGAACUGGAAGGAACAUGCUGUCACAUGUAAUCUAACGAGCUCGGCCUCCUCUUCCAGUGCCCAUUAAUCAAUCAUCCAACACUGGAAACCUGUGGCAAGGCUUCUGUGUGCUGUGGAGAAGCAAGGGCAUGGUCUCUGCUUUUAAAGCAUUUAUGGGCUAGCUGGGGAGAUGAACUGUGUAUAUAUGAGCAUAAAACAUGACAAUAGCCAACAUUUAUGGAGUACGCCCCGUGUGCCAGGCUCAGUGUGGCGCUCUCCUUUACUCCUCUGACACCCCAUCAAGUAUGUGCUGUGUUAUCAUCUCCAUUUUAUAGACUUUUUAGCAGGAUCACUUGCCCUCCGGGUCACACAGUGUGCGGGCAAGUCAGACUGUGCAUACAGGCCUGGCUGACUGCAGAGGAAGGAGCUGCGUUUGCAAGCUCGAAUCUGUGCAGCGUUCAGUGAAGGUGAGUGGUCAGUCGCGUUUGGCCUCAUCAUCUCCACUCUGGUCCUGAGACUGUUCUCCUUGCCCUCUUUCUGGAAAGUAGGGAAACUGCCUGGGGUCAGCCCCAAGGAACUUUUUUAGCCAUCACAGCCUCCUGGGACCCUACACAGGUUCUGUUUCUUCCCUUCCCUUCCUCUGUCUUUGGGCACUCAACAAUCACAACCCAGGUCAUUUCUCCUUAGACAGCAUUAACCUUGUACAUACAUCUUGUCUUCUGUGAUUUUGUUAUCCAAGUAGAAGACACCUAAUUCGCAAUGCGUAGAUAUACAAAGCAGAACUUCACCCCAGUGAAGUGGGACUUGGUGGUCUCUUAAGUUCCUUCCUCUAGCGUUCAAUGGUUCGUUCCCUCUCUGCUUCACAUGGAGCAGUGACCUUCCUUAAACACAGGCGGGUAGAUUCAGGCUUUCAUCAGUACCCCAAAGGCAGGUCUGACAGUCCAGCAUCUUCAACUCGAUUUGCCACUCGUGAUGACUAAAGGACCAAACAGAGAAAAAUGUGGUUUUCUCAGGUGCAUUCCUCCUAGUUUGGCUACCAAGAAAAGAUUUCUCACUGUGUUUUACCUGCUGCAAAAUUGGGAAUUCCAGAAAUCUCACAGUGUCCAGAUGAAUUUUCUUUCUGAAUCUGGGAUGCAGCACCCUUUUUUGAAAGACAAAGAGAGGAUUUUGCUGAGAUUUCAUUGAAGAUCUUGACUAUGAACCAAAACUUCUUUGCUUGUGGAGUGGAGAGAAAAGUGAAGGUAGCAUUUUCUUUCCUAUCUCUCAAAUUCCAACUGUGAAGAGUGAGACAGAGGCGUCUAUGUGGAGCCAUUGGGCUGAAGAUUUUCAUCAACAGCAUUAGCCGUAUGAACUGGGUAUUCAGGUUUCCUUCCACGUUUUCCUGUUUGUAUUUUGGCUCUACACUUAAGUUUUUCCCUGUCCAUAUUGUACUUUGUUCUUUCAUUUUGUCUUAUUAACUUUGUUUAAGUCCUGUUGGUUUAGCUCUUCCGGUGGUUGACUCAUUCUUGACACUGGUUUUGGCCAUCAUUUUAAAACUC
rnacentral:lncRNA from 1 species